AGUGAACGCUGGCGGUAGGCCUAACACAUGCAAGUCGAACGGCAGCACAGUAAGAGCUUGCUCUUACGGGUGGCGAGUGGCGGACGGGUGAGGAAUACAUCGGAAUCUACUUUUUCGUGGGGGAUAACGUAGGGAAACUUACGCUAAUACCGCAUACGACCUACGGGUGAAAGCAGGGGAUCUUCGGACCUUGCGCGAUUGAAUGAGCCGAUGUCGGAUUAGCUAGUUGGCGGGGGAAAGGCCCACCAAGGCGACGAUCCGUAGCUGGUCUGAGAGGAUGAUCAGCCACACUGGAACUGAGACACGGUCCAGACUCCUACGGGAGGCAGCAGUGGGGAAUAUUGGACAAUGGGCGCAAGCCUGAUCCAGCCAUACCGCGUGGGUGAAGAAGGACUUCGGGUUGUAAAGCCCUUUUGUUGGGAAAGAAAAGCAGCAGGUUAAUACCCCGCUGUUCUGACGGUACCCAAAGAAUAAGCACCGGCUAACUUCGUG
rnacentral:rRNA from 1 species